UCCCGGAAGUCGCCAUGCCUGGAUUCUGCUUAGUUCAAUUCCUCCAGACUGUGCGUCGCGAAGGCUCAGGACAACUGGAGGAGGAUGUGACGGAUGAGGGAGACUAUCCACGAGGAAGACGACGCACGAGCGACCGACGGACGAAUCAGUAUUCAGGCGCUUCAGGCGAAGCAAACAGGUGGCUGCCUAGUACAACAUGGGUAACGCUGACUCCAAACUCAACUUCAGGAAAGCUGUGAUACGACUAACAACCAAAACACAGCCUGUGGAGACUACAGACGAUGCUUUCUGGGACCAGUUCUGGGCGGAUACUGCCACGACCGUCCAGGAUGUGUUCGCUCUGGUGCCGGCAGCGGAGAUACGAGCUGUCAGGGAGGAAUCUCCCUCCAAUCUAGCAACCCUCUGCUACAAGGCGGUGGAGAAGCUAGUCCAGGCGGCUGAAUCUGGUUGUCCCUCAGAGAAGGAAAGACAGAUAGUCCUGAACUGCACCCGUCUGCUCACACGUAUUCUACCAUACAUCUUUGAGGAUGCAGACUGGAGAGGGUUCUUCUGGUCUAACGUGCCUGGAGCUCGGCAGGAUGAAGAUAAUGAUGAUGGAGCGAGGCCCCUGGCUGAGUCUCUCCUCCUGGCUGUAUCUGACCUGCUCUUCUGUCCAGACUUCACCGUUCAGAGCCACAAGAGAGCCGGCCCGGACACAGAGGAGGACAUGCAGUCGAUAGACAGUUGUGAGUACAUCUGGGAGGCAGGGGUGGGGUUCGCUCAGUCACCCCCUCUCGACUACAUCCACGACCUCAACAGGACGGAGCUGCUGAAGCUGCUUCUGACCUGUUUCUCUGACGCCAUGUACCUGCCCCCCUCUGCUGAGAACAACAUCCUCAACCGCUGGGUUACCUUCUUCAGCUCUACAGAUAACAGACAUGCCCUGCCUCUCUUCACAUCUCUCCUAAACGUGGUGUGCGCCUAUGACCCAGUGGGGUACGGUAUCCCCUACAACUACUUGAUGUUCUCUGACUACCGAGAGGUGCUGGUGGAGCAUGCUGUCCAGAUCCUCAUAGUGACUCUGGAGCACGAGGCCGGGGCAGCUGCAGCCACAGCUCAACACAACCUGGACCACUUACACUCCCUCUCUGCCUCUGCGAUGGAAGACAAGGAGCUUGUGGGACCAGACAACCUGUUUGUUAACUACCUGUCCAGGAUCCAUAGGGAGGAGGACUUCAGCUUCAUUCUGAAGGGCCUGGCCAGACUGAUGACCAACCCUCUGAUCCAAACCUACCUGCCCAACUCUACCAAGAAGAUCCAGUUCCACCAGGAACUCCUGGUGCUCUUCUGGAAGCUCUGUGACUUCAACAAGAAGUUUCUGUUCUUCGUGUUAAAGAGCAGUGAUGUUCUGGAUGUCCUGGUGCCUAUCCUGUUCUACCUGAAUGAUGCACGAGCUGACCAGUCUUGUGUGGGCCUGAUACACAUUGGUGUCUUUAUCCUGCUGCUGCUGAGUGGAGAGAGGAACUUUGGUGUGCGUCUGAAUAAAACCUACUCGGUACGGGUCCCCAUGGACAUCCCUGUGUUCACUGGAACACAUGCUGAUCUGCUCAUCAUGAUUUUCCACAAAAUCAUCACAGGUGGACACCAGCACCUGAAGCCUCUCUUUGACUGCCUGCUUACCAUCAUAGUGAAUGUGUCUCCCUACCUGAAGAGUCUGUCCAUGGUAGCAGCCAACAAGCUGCUCCACCUCCUGGAAGCCUUCUCCACCAACUGGUUCCUGUUCUCUGCCUCCCAGAACCAUCAUCUGAUCUUCUUCCUGCUUGAGGUCUUCAACAACCUCAUACAGUAUCAGUUUGAUGGUAACUGUAACCUGGUGUACACCCUCAUCCGCAAGCGCAACAUCUUCCAUCAGCUGGCCAAUCUGACCUCUGACCCGGUCACUAUCCACAAGGCCCUAGAGAUGAAGAAGACGACAUUGGCUCGUAUCUCCCGUACCAACUCCCAGGAGACCAUCUCCAUGGAUGGGUCCCGACCGGCCGUCCCAGCUGAGCCAGGGACCCUCAAAGCCAGCCUCGUGGCAAUACCAGCUAUUGACAAGCUGACAAAGAAGGCUCAGGUCUCUGAGGAUGGCACCAUGGUCUGUCUCCAGCACAACACACACUCUCCACAGAUGACCGCUGACCAGCAUACACACAGCCUGCAGCCUCAAACGGCUGGUGACCAGCACAAACACUCUCCACAGUCCUCUGACACCAACACCAGUGGUAUAGUAGGAGCCAGCAACACAGAGUCCAACUCAGGGAGAGACAAUGAGGAGGCUUUUCCACCAGUGUCAGACCCAGCCAGGGGUUGUUUGUCCAGAGUGUCAGCAUCAGCUACAUACUGGAACCCUACACCAGACUGGAUGGUGACCUGCUCUCCUUUCUCUGUACUGUUCUCCGUCAGGUCCUCUCCUGGAAGAGUAAGCUUCCUCUCCAGACUAUCAUGAGGCUGCUACAAGUCCUGGUUCCUCAGGUGGAGAAGAUCUGCAUAGACAAGGGCCUGACAGAUGAGUCAGAGAUCCUGAAGUUCCUGCAGCAUGGUACCCUGGUGGGCCUGCUGCCUGUGCCACACCCCAUCCUCAUCAGGAAGUACCAGGCUAACGCGGGCACUGCCAUGUGGUUCCGCACAUACACGUGGGGUGUCAUUUACCUACGUAACGUGGAUCCUCCAAUCUGGUACGACACCGACGUCAGACUGUUUGAGAUCCAGAGGAUCUAACUGGAGGAGGUGAAGAGGUCUCUACGACUGCGUCUGAAAUAGCACCCUGUCCCCUAUAUAGUGCAUAGCUUUUGACAGGAGCCCUAUGGACCCUUGUCAAAAGUAGUGCACUAUAUAAGGGGAUAGGGUGCUAUUUGGGAAGCACACUGUGUCUCUCUGGAACUGGGUUGUCUGGCUGGUUCCCCUCAGAACCACAAACUCAGAACCGUCUCCUACCAAUCUUCAAACCUGAACAGAGGUCUGGAUGAGGAAGAGGACAGAUGAAGAUUAAACGGACAUACCUGCUCUAGAAAACAAGAAUUGACAGUUUUUUUCCUGCAUUUUGUUUCUUGCCAAACCCGUAAAUCAUUAUGUAAUAAACCACUUUUCCUACAAGCUGUCUGCUACUACAACUGCCAAAAGAUCUGCCAUAUCAACCCUCUACUGGUGUGUAUUUUCUAUGUCAGUAUAUUCCUUCACUUCUUCAACCUUGAUGUAACUUUUUUUUCCAAACAAAAACCAUGUAUACACUACCGUAUGUAUACGUUAGGUAAUCUGCCAUUUAAGUUUUUGUAUGUUUUAGAUUAUGUAUUGCACUUAUUUUCAGUAUCUCCUUUUUCAGGGAGCUUCAUUUUCCCCCUAUUAUCGCUGUAACAUUUCUUUUUAUUUUGGUGUGAAAUAGACUUAGGUUAGCAUGAGACUCACUAAAGGAUGCAGCUUUAAGAAACCUGUCACGACUGAAUUAAAAAGGCAGACUAGUGCUGAAUCCCAAAUCGCCCCUCCAAUUCCGUGUUCACGUGCCCCAUUCGCCAUAUGCACACUUUGUGCUGGGGGUGUGAAAAUAAUGGAUGGCUAAUUAGAUCCCCGAUAGCCACUUUCACCGAGUCAGCUAUGCUCUCCGCUUCAGAGUGAUGUGGUAUACUAUAACUCACUGCGUUAUUUUUGAGUUUGCGCAAUUUCACACAAAAUAAAUGCGGUGUGGCUUGUUAUGAGCCACCUUUAUUUGUUUGUGUCUAAUGUUGAGGCUUUACACAUGUAACAUUAAAUACUUCCCACAUUAAAUGUUUAUGUUACCAAUGUUUAUAUCUUGUAAAAUUACAGGGAUUUUUCUCAUUUGAAUUUAAUGCUU